GAAUUGCCUUUGAUACUGUUAUUCUUGAGUGUAGUUGAAGUGGGCGGAAUAUAGCGAUGUAGCGGUGAAAUGCAUAGAUAUGCUAUAGAACACCAAUUGCGAAGGCAGCUCGCUAAACUAUAACUGACGCUGAGGCACGAAAGCGUGGGGAGCGAACAGGAUUAGAUACCCUGGUAGUCCACGCCGUAAACGAUGAACACUCGCUGUUGGCGAUACACAGUCAGCGGCUUAGCGAAAGCGUUAAGUGUUCCACCUGGGAAUUACGAUCGCAAGGUUGAAACUCAAAGGAAUUGACGGGGGCCCGCACAAGCGGAGGAGCAUGUGGUUUAAUUCGAUGAUACGCGAGGAACCUUACCUGGGCUUAAAUGCAUAUUGACGUACUGAGAAAUCA
rnacentral:rRNA from 1 species